rnacentral:rRNA from 1 species
UACGUAGGGUGCAAGCGUUAAUCGGAAUUACUGGGCGUAAAGCGUGCGCAGGCGGUUUUGUAAGUCUGAUGUGAAAUCCCCGGGCUCAACCUGGGAAUUGCGUUGGAGACUGCAAGGCUAGAAUCUGGCAGAGGGGGGUAGAAUUCCACGUGUAGCAGUGAAAUGCGUAGAGAUGUGGAGGAACACCGAUGGCGAAGGCAACCCCCUGGGUCAAGAUUGACGCUCAUGCACGAAAGCGUGGGGAGCAAACAGG